rnacentral:lncRNA from 1 species
UCGGCUUCUCCUCUCGGCUGGUCCUCUCGGCUUCUCCUCACAACAGGUGAGGGGUACCUGCAAGUCGCUCUGAUGCCAAAGUCAGAAAAGGUUUAAUAUUCAUCAGAUAAAAUCACUCUUACCUUUUUCUUACUCUGGACUUCUAUUUAUAGGGUUUCCUUAAUGGGCUUUUCUCCUUUUCUGUUGGACUUUCUCUUUACACCUUUUUAUUAUUUACACACCCCUCCUGUAGGUUUUAAACUUAAUUGGGUUUCAUUUUUAUAGUAGUACUUAUAUUUUAUUUUAUUCUUUAAUGUACAUCUUUUUCACUCUCGGUUUAAACCUCUCGGUUUUAACCUUAUCCCCUUGUUUACUUAAUGUUGUUCUCGGCCUAAACCUCUCGGUUUUAGCCUACCAGUACACUAGCCCCCGAGACAGAAAUAUUUUAUUUUAAGUUUAAACAAAUAUUUGUGUCUUAAUAUAAUAUAAUAAUUUUGACAUUUGAUUUGAUUUCAUAUGGAACGCUUUGAUUUCUGCGCUUUAUUUUGCUCAGUUUACAUGACUUGACAGGAACUUGCCAUUUUGACCGUUAGAUGACAUAUUUUUGAAUGGUGCCACAUUGUUUAUAACGUUUGAAAUUCUAGGGUUUUCUCUGGGCUAUAAAUAGGUUUGCCAUUGGGUUUUUUAUGAUUGUGUGUGCUUUGCUGCUGUUGAGAAGGAAGCAUAUUGUCAAUCUUCGUUCAAUUCUUGCGAAGGUAAUGUCUCUUUCAAGUUCUUCUGCUACUGAUGAAUUUUCAAGCGCGGGUGGUGAAUCAAAUGGCCGAGUGGUUCGAGAAGAAGUUCCUCCUGAGUCAAAAUCUUCAUCUGCCACUCUAUCUUGUAUGAAUGAUUCAAGUGGAGCUCCUGCUGUUGAUAUUCUUCAAGAAUUUGAAUUUAUCGUGCCCCAGAAAAACCUUCGUCCUGGUUAUCAAUGGGUUAAUCCUAAAGUCCGAGAGUAUUUCUCGAAGUAUCGUUCUGCUAACGAACUUCGGAGUUUUCUUUCCCGUUCUCAAAUUUAUUAUUCUGAUAUUGAAAAUGAUAUCAUUUCAUUUCGGCGUGUUGGUGAUGUUGAUAAUGUGUGUCAUGGCCGAGAAGGUGAUAGCUAUGAAUUUUUUUAUUUUUAUGCUUGCUUUUUCAGAGAUCUUCAUAUUCGAUUGCCUUUGAACAAUUUUCAAAUGGGCGUUCUUAAUUUUCUUAAUGUUGCUCCUACUCAGCUUCAUCCUAAUGGUUGGGCUGCGAUGCAAGCAUUCAGUAUUUUUUGUAAAUUGUUGUCACUUUCUCCUAGUCCCUCUGUGUUUCUAUACUAUUAUAGUUCUCGGCCUGGUAAACGGCCGGGGUGGCUAUCCCUUAUUAGCAAAUCCAAUGUGUGUUUUCUUAAGCCUUUUACGUCGUCAUAUAAGGAUUUUAAAGGAAGUUUUUUCAAAAUUCUAAUAGAGCCAAUAGGAAGAGAAUACUUCUUUAAUGGAAAUUCUCCAAAAUUUCCUCUGUAUUGGACGAAAGAUCCUGUGAAGUUUAACUCAAUAUCCUUUCAUUCGAUGGGUGUGGCCGAUCGUCAUGUUAUUGAAGUUUUUAGUCGUUUCUCGUACCAAGUUCCCACUCGUGCUUUGCUACAGUUGUAUACUUCAUCACAUCCUCGAGAAGAUCUUACUGGUACGUGGUUGUUGUUGAAGCUGGAGGAAGCUUCUUCCCUACCAAGACUUGAUGUGUGUUUGAUGAAGAAAAUGGCUUGAGUGCUUUGAAGAUUGUAAUAGGUUUUUAGAUUCAUUUGUAUUUAGGCUUGUAAAUGUGUAUGAUUGCCUUUUGCUGUGUAACCUAUCCUAGAUGCCUAACUAAGUCUAGAUCAAGCACAUGAUGUGGUUAAAUGGUUUUUUGAAAAGCUUUUUAAAAUGUUUUUAACAGUUUUAAAACAGUACACAAAUAAAUCUGUUUUAUGGAGAAAGAAUCUGUUUAUUUCUUCUCUGUUAAAAGGCUUUUCUAAAAUUUCUGUUAAGGCACCAAGGGAAAGCUCAGUUCGUUAUUUCAGUUAAGCUGAGCUGGCCUGUGUGUGAUACUUUAAUCUGUUUUACUGUGAAAGAACAGGUUUAUUCUUUGGUCUGCUGAAAGGUUUUUUACAAGUUAGUUAGGGCACCAAAGGUACCACUCAGACAGUUAUUUCUGUUAAGCUGAGUUGGCAGUUUUCACAAAAUAAAUCUGUUAAGUUCAAAAAUGAAUCUGUUGUUUUCUUAACUGCUUUUCAACUGUUUUUUGAAAAGAGGUUAGAAACUGUUUUCUAUAUAAAGAAAAGUCUUUCUCACAUGAAUAAGUGCUGAGGAAUUACGCUUUUGACAAAGAUCAAACAAUUUCCAUGUGAGAAGAAGGAUUGAAAGAGUUUUUGAAAGGUUUUCCAAAGAGAUUUUCAAGUGUGCUUGUUCUAGGAAACCUUGAAUCUUGGUGAAGGUGCUGGUGCAGUUCUGCAGCAAAUUAAACUACUGGUUUUGAGUUCUUGCAUCUUCUUUUCAGGUGUAAUCUUUCCUUUAUUCUGUUUUGUAAAGGUGUAAGUGUUANNNNNNNNNNNNNNNNNNNNNNNNNNNNNNNNNNNNNNNNNNNNNNNNNNNNNNNNNNNNNNNNNNNNNNNNNNNNNNNNNNNNNNNNNNNNNNNNNNNNNNNNAGUGAUUGGUACUGUUUUUAGUGAAUUCCACCUUGGGGUAAGGUGUGACUGGAUGUAGCUCUGUAUGAGUGAACCAGUAUAAAAACGUGUGUAUCUUGUAUUCUCAUCCCUGCACUCUUUUCUGGUUUUUGCUUAAUUCUGUCAAGAACUAAAUCUGUUCUUUUUAAAUUGAAUCUGUUAAUUCUGGGUUAAGUGAAAACUGUUCUUCCUGAUUUGUUGAAGUUUUCUGAUCAUAAACAAGGUUGCUGCAUAUAAUGGUUUAAGUGAAUUGUGAACAAACUGAUCAUUCAUUAAAACCUGAGAAAGGAUCAUACUUCUUGAAAUCUUGUGUUGUGUAACUUUUGAUUGAUUUCUAAGCAUAGUUGUAUCUUUCAUCCUCACAAUAUUAAGCUGAUCUGGUUCUGUUAUAAUUCUUUGUUGAACACAAUUUUACAUUGAACAAAAUUCAAAUUGUGCCAAGACUGCUCUGAAGAAUCAAUUUGUUUCAUGUAAAAACAAUCUGUUCUUUUUGCCUCUGGAAUACUGAAAAANNNNNNNNNNNNNNNNNNNNNNNNNNNNNNNNNNNNNNNNNNNNNNNNNNNNNNNNNNNNNNNNNNNNNNNNNNNNNNNNNNNNNNNNNNNNNNNNNNNNUUGCGAAAAUUUUAUAAGCUCAAUUCACCCCUCCCCUCUUGAACUUAGACAAUAAUAGACCCAACAGUUGUUCCGCAUUUUCUUGCUUUUUAGGAUGAGUUUUUUAACUUUGCUAAAUUUUUUAUUGAUUUUCAGCUCUGAUGGCAAGCACUAAUCCGAAAGCUCGAUCUUACUUUUCGAAAUUGCUGAACAAAGUGGGUGAUGUAACUCCCCGACGUGAGAAUGUGGUAAAUCCUGUUGUGGAAGUAGAAACCGUGGAACCUGUUGCUAAUGUUGACGUGGUGGAACCGACAAGUAAUGUCGAUGUUGCUGGUCCUUCGAAGAAAUCAAAGAAACGAGAUAGGAGUAGCCAGAGGUCACAUUCGUCUUCUCGGCGCCAUCGCCAUAGUGAAAAUGUUUCAUGUGAACCUCUUCCUGAGAUGAUUUUUAGUGCGACGAAUAAGUAUGGAAAGUUUGUUCAAACAUCUUUUAGUGAAUCAUCUUACAAUAUGCUGAAGAAUAUGGAUGCUGCUUCAUUAGCGGAUUCUGUUAUUGAAUUAUCAAGUAGAAAUCUUUUGAUUGGAAAAAUGAUGAAAGAGAAGAAUGGGAACUGCGUGUCGUUAUCUGGAUUUGAAAAGUUGAAGAAUGAUCUUGCUGAGUAUAAAGAAAGGAUGAACUCUUUAUCUUUAGAGUUAGAGAAGAUGACAAAACAGAAAAAGGAACAAGAAAUCGAGAAUGAAGGUCUUGGAAAAGAAAUUUCUGAUUUGAAGAACGAAAACCUGAAAUCUAGCGCAGAGAAUGCUCAAUUGUUCAAGGAGAAUCAACUUUUGACCGAGAAGGUAUCGACGCUAUCUUCUGCGAAUGAAUCCGACAAGAACACCAUCAAACUUAUGGAUGAGGAGAUUAAUCAGCUCAGGACCAAUGUUUUUGAAGCCGAAAGUUUUAUAUUUGAACAACACAAACUUGGCUUUGAGAAGGCUCUUCAACAAGCAAAAUACUUUUAUAAGAUUCCUAUUGAUGAAGGUAAUUUUGAUGUUAAGAAGGACUUUUAUAAUGGUGAGCUAGUUCCUGCUAAUGAGAUUCCGGAUAAUGAUGCUAAAGAUAUUAAUAUCGAAAAUUAGGUAUAGGGUUUUAAGUUUUAUAGUUUGUCGGUUACCUCUCGGUUACUUGCUGAGAAGUACAAUUGUUUUGGAAUGCUGGGUUUGUUGGAUAUUUGCAUUCGUGAUGUAAUUCCUUUUUGGGAACUUUGUUAAUAUAAAUGCUUAAGCUUUUGUGGUUAUCAUCGUAAUUUUAUCCUUUAUAUUAUGUUGUCUGGUUAAAAUUUUCUCUCAGUUAUAAUCGUUGUGAGACUUGUUAGUUUUCGGUUUUCUUUAUGUUGAAAGCGUUAAAAAUGUUAGAAUUGUUUGAACUCACCUUUCGGUUUUAAUGAUCAUUAGUUUAAACAUGACAUUCUAUUAGAGCAUGAAGAUAUUGACUAUGUUGUAACUUGGACCUUUCGGUUUUUUAAGCGUGAUAUUUCGCAUUAUAAUCAUUUAACAUUAAAGGCCUUUCAGUGUUUAACCCAAUAUUGACCCCUUGGGUUAUUUAUUUGAAAUUUAAAACAAGUCAUUUGUUAAUAAAAUUGUUACCGGGUUCUUUCGAUUGGGAUUUAAAAAAGUAUAUUACUCCGUGAUUAUUGCAUUUGGAUUAUUUGCUUUCGGUUUUACCGCUCAAGCAUUUUUUUUAUCUUUUAAAUUGUGAAGUAUAAAGUUAUUAAUCAGAAACCUUUAAUUUAUUAAGGUUGAUUCAUAAUUGAUACAUGAUUGAUUAGAAUAUGCAAUUGUCGGUUUAGCAAUGUAUUUUGGAUGAGUAGCUUUCGGUUUUUCGAAUUGUAAAGUUACUGCUUUAGACCUGGCGUUUUUUUUUGAAGGUGUAAAGAUCAUGUACCUUUUAGCUCUGAUCUUUCGGUUUUCGUUUGCGAUAAAACGUUUUAAGAUUGACAGUUUUAAAGGAAGAUUCUGAUGGCAGGGAUUUCAAAAAACGAAAGCUAACUCUGAUCUUUCGGUUUUCAUCUGAUUUGAAGGCUUUCAAAAGUGAGAAGUAUAUUUAUGUUUGUUCGGGAGGGAUUUCACCUGAAGUGAAAGCAUCCAAGCCCAAAAAAGUUAUGUAAAUCGACUCUCGGGUGGGAUUUCACCUGAAAUGAAAGCAUCCAAACCCAAAGAAAUUGUGUAAAUCUAUUUUCGGGUGGGAUUUCACCUGAAAUGAAAGCAUCCAAGCCCAAAGAAGUUAUGUAAAUCUAUUCUCGGGUGGGAUUUCACCUGAAGUGAAAGCAUUCAAGGCCGAGAAACGAAGAAUGAAUAUGUACAUAAUGGAAGAUAACAAAACAGAUUGUUUCUUGAGAAUUCCUCUUCAUUAUAUGAUAAGUAAUUUACAUCUAUUUUAACUAAAAUAAAAUUUUAGAUGACUUACAUUCCAGGUUCUCGGUAUCACUUUCUCUUCCAAAGUUUCUAAUCUAUAAGCUCCAUUUUGUAAGUUUUCUAGCACCCUAAAAGGACCUUCCCAAUUGGAUGCCAAUUUUCCAUGUCGUGGAUCCUUUCGAGCAUCAGUUCGCAUUCUCCAUACCAGAUCACCUUCUUUAAAAGCCCUAAAUUUUACUUUUACAUUAAAUCUCUUCAUUGCUCUUUGUUUGACUGCAGUCUCCUUUAUUUUUGCUUUUUCUCUAAGUUCUUCAAUAAGAUCAAGAUCGGUUCUCAAACACUCAUUGUUGAUAUUCCAGUCUUCCAUUUGUCUUCUUAAUGUGGGUUCAUUAACUUCUACUGGUAACAUUGCAUCUGUUCCGUAAGUGAGAUUGAACGGUGUUUCUCCAGUUGAUGUUUGCGGUGUGCAACGAUAUGCCCAUAAGAUCUCCGGUAGUUUCUUUGCCCAUAAUCCUUUAGCAGUCCCCAACCUCUUUUUUAAUUGUCCAAGAAUAACCUUGUUUGCGGCUUCGGCUUGUCCAUUCGUUUGCGGAUGUUCAACCGAAGUGGUUGUGGGCUUGAUUCCCAAAUCUGCAUAAAAUUCCAUAAGUUUUUUGUCAAUGAAUUGUCGGCCAUUGUCACUUACAAUAGUAUGUGGGAUUUCGAAUCGACAUAUUAUAUUUUUCCAUACAAACGUUUGGACUUGUUGUGCCGUUAUCUUUGUCAAUGCCUCUGCUUCUAUCCAUUUUGUAAAGUAGUCUACAGCUACUAUCAUGAAUUUUCUUUGCCCUCGUCCAAGUGGGAAUGGGCCAAGUAUAUCAAUUCCCCAUUUUGAAAAUGGCCAUGGAGAUAUAAUUUCUUGCAACUCCUGCGCUGGGAUAUGAUUUAAGCUCCCAAACUCUUGGCAUUUUCUACAUGUUUUGACAUAAACUUCACAAUCCUCUCGGAUUGUUGGCCAAUAAUAACCAGCUCUGCAAACCUUUGUUGCCAUUGUUCGAGCUCCGCAAUGCAGUCCACAAAUUCCUUCAUGAAGUUCUUUGACCACAUAUUCUGCUUGUUCUUUGGUCAAACAUUUUAACAGGGGCAUGGAAUAUCCCCUUUUAUAUAGCUCAUCACCGAUUAGAAUGAAACUAGCGACUUUCUUUGUUGUUUUGGCAUCCGGCUCAACACCUUUCUCCUGGGUCUUUAUGAUUUCGAUGUAUGUUUUUAUCCAGUCAUCUUUGGAUGUUAUAAUAUUGAAGCAUUCGUCCAGACUAAUUGUCGAAUGACUGAGGGUUUGUUGUAUGACGGAAUUGUGUUGCACUUGCCUUUGUUGGCUUGCUAACUUAGACAAUGAAUCUGCUUUCAUAUUCAAUUCUCUUGGAAUAUAUUUCAUCUCGGCCUUGUUAAAACAUUGCAUAAUAUUUAAGACUUUAUGAUAAUAUUUCAUUAACAAAGGGUCUUUUACCUGAUACUCCCCGUGCACUUGUCCCACCGAUAGUUGUGAAUCAGUUUUGCAAAUGACAUUUUCCACUCCCAUGUCUCUGGCUAAUAACAAUCCUACAACAAGAGCUUCAUAUUCGGCCUGGUUGUUGGAUGUUUUGAACUCGAAUCUUAGCGCCAUCUCUACUUGGAAAUUAUCUGGUCCUUCAAGUACUAUUCCUGCUCUGCUUCCUCUUUUGCUUGACGCGCCAUCUACAUACAAAGUCCACUGGUCCUGUUGUGCUGAUGUUGGCAUCUGAAUGAUAAAAUCUGCAAGAGAUUGGGCUUUGAUAGAUCCUCUUGGUUCGUAUUUGAUUCCAUAUUCCGAAAGCUCCAUUGACCAUGUCACCAUUCGACCUGCAAGUUCUGGUUUUUUUAAAAUUUUAGAUAUUGGAAAAUCUGUCCUCACUAUUAUCUGAUGAUUCUGAAAGUAUGGUCGAAGGCGUCUUGCAGCAUACACUAAUGUUAGGGCAAUUCUCUCAACUUUGGGAUAUCUGGUUUCGGCAUUUUGUAGGGUUCUACUCACAAAAUAUAUCGGUUUCUGCUCUGGGUUUUCUUGGAUUAAAGCGGCUCCUAUUGCUUCAUUUGAAGUGGCUAAGUAGACUAUGAUGGGUUGAUUGGGUACAGGUUUUACUAAGAUUGGAGGUUCAGCCACCAUGCUCUUUAUUUGAGAUAAGCUUGCUCACAUUGUUCACUCCACACAAAGUUUUCAGAUUUUUUCAACAAGUUUAUAAUCGGUUUGGUUUUCUCAGCCAAUAUUGGCAGAAAUCUUGAUAAUGAAUUCAGCUUUCCUACUAGCCUUUGCACUUCUUUUAGGUUUUUCGGUCUUCCCAUCUGCAUGAUUGCCUCACAUUUAUCAGGAUUGGCUUCGAUUCCUCUGUUUGUCAACAUGAAUCCCAAAAAUUUUCCUCCUCUGACGCCGAAAACGCAUUUUUCUGGAUUAAGACGAAUAUUGUAUUUUCUUAUUUGAGCAAACACUUCUUCAAGAUCUUCCAGGUGUUUCUGUAUCUCACUUGAUUUAACGACCAUGUCAUCAACGUACACUUCUAGGUUUUUUCCAAUCUGUUCUUUAAACACUUUGUCCAUCAAUCUUUGGUAUGUUGCUCCAGCAUUCUUCAAGCCGAAAGGCAUGACUUUAUAACAAUAAUUUGCAACAUUAGUGGUGAAAGCUGUUUUCGGGAUAUCAGGUGCAUACAUCUGUAUUUGAUUAUACCCCGAAUAAGCAUCAAGGAAACUCAUCAUCUCUUGGCCAGAUGCCCCAUCAACUAGUCGGUCUAUGUUAGGCAAUGGAUAUGUGUCUUUUGUUCAGCUUUGUUCAAAUCGGUGUAAUCUGUACACAUUCUCCAUUAUCCAUUUGGUUUUUUGACGAGUACCACAUUAGACAACCACGUAGUAUACUUAGCUUCUCGGAUAAAACCAGCUUGUAUUAAUUUUUUAGUUUCUUCAAUUGCUGCCUAUCGUCGUUCUUCUCCUAACUUUCUUCGUUUUUGAGAUACUAGCUUUGCUUCCCAGCAAACAGAUAAUUUGUGACACAUUACCUCUGGAUCAAUUCCAGGAAUAUCAGACGGCUGUCAGGCAAAUAAAUCCUUAUUGCUACGCAACAGUGUGAUAAGUUUGCUAAGCAAUUCAUCAGGCAUACUUCCACUUAUAUAAGUGCACUGUCUGUCGUCUUGGCCUAACACUACUGCUGUUGUUUCUUCUUUCGGCUCCAGCCUUUCCUCAUUCAAUCUGGGAUCCAAGUCCACCAUGGCUACUAUCUUUUCAGCAUCUCUAUCCAUCUUCAAAUUCAUUUUUAGACCUGCUGCAUAACACUCUCGAGUAUCUCUUUGGUUGACAUAAACUGUCGCUAUCUCUCCUUUUUCUGUUGGGAAUUUCAUGGCCAAAUGCGGUGUUGACACGAUUGCUCUUAACUUAUUUAAGGAAGAUCGUCCUAGCAACACAUUGUAUGAAGUGGAUGCAUCCACCACCAGAUAUCGGAUUUUAAUUUUUCUAAUUUUGCUACCUCUUCCAAAUGUUGUUACCAAAUCAACAUAUCCCUUUGUGUUAACUCUUUCGCCUGAAAAGCCAAUGAUUUGCUCUCGGAAAGGCACUAUGUCUUCUUCUCUCAAAUGCAACCUUUUAAACGUAUCCCAGAACAAGAUAUCAACCGAACUCCCUUGAUCAACCAGGGUCUUCAUGACAGCAUAUUCGGCUAUUUCAACCGUGAUCACCAUAGGAUCAUCAUGAUCUGGAUCAAUUUCUUGAAAGUCUUCGUCUGUGAAAAGCAUUGGUGGUAAAGUUCUUCUUUUAAAAACAUGAUUAACAGCCCUGAUAUUUCUCCAAUGUUGCUUUCGUGCAAAUGAGGAUUCCUUCCCAGAAAAACCUCCUGAGAUCGUAUUUAUAAACCCCCUAACCGGCCUUCCCAAACUUCGCUCUCUGCUUCGUCUUACUGACUGGGUGUUUUGAUAGAUUCUAUCUCCUCUUUCGUCUGGCCUUCCAACCCUUCUUUCAUCUCUUUUUUCCACUCGUUUAUUUUCUCUUCUUUCAAACCUUUCAACCCUUCUUUCACCCAGCUCUCGCCCUCUCACAUCUCUCUCAGAACUCAACCAUGCUCUUGUGUUUCCCCUUUGAACAAAACGUUUUAACUGCCCGGCAUGAAUCAACUCUUUUAUUCUGUCUUUCAACCCAAUACAUUCUUCUGUAUGAUGACCAUGAUUUUUAUGAUAUUCACAAUGUUUGGUGCGGUCUGCCCUUUCUGGUGUUCUUGCUUUUCUUGGUGAUGGCAUUAUUUCAGCUGCCAUGGCUUCCUGUAAAAUUCUUGCUCUGUUUGUAUUUAGAGGCGUGUAUUGCUGGAACUUUCAACUUCUGAACUCUUCUCGGGCUCUUCUUGCAACAGGUGGGUGUUCUCUUUCUAUCACCCUCUUCUCACCUCCAUCAACCCUUACUUGGUUUCUAAACUCCCUUAAUUCUUCCAUUUGCAUAAAUUUUGAUGCUCGUUGCCUUAGUUCAUCCAAAUUGAUCGCAGGUUUCUUGCAAAGACUAUCGACAAACGGUCCCGGUUUUAAUGCCGUUAUCAUAUGAUGCAUGGUAACCUCUGGGCUAAGAUUUCAGAUUCCCAAAGCAACCUUUCCAAAACGUUCCAUGAACAUUCUUAAGGACUCUCCUUUCUUUUGUCUUAUGUUCACUAAGGCGAUUGACGUUAAAUGAUGAGGACGACCAGUUGCAAAUUGAGCGCCGAACUUUUCUAUCAACAUGUCAAAACAAUCUAUACUCAAAGGUGGGAGGCGUGUAAACCAGCUCAAUGCUGCCCCUUUCAGAGUUGUAGGAAAUACUCUGCACAUAACAGCAUCAUUCCAUGUAUACAAGCUGAUUUGAGUAGUAUAUAUUGCAAUAUGCUCAUCAGGGUUCGUACUCCCAUCAUAUUUGUCAAUGGUCAAGUUCUUCCAAUUGUCAGGCAACGGAGUAUCGAUUAUAACAUCAUAAAACGGAUGUUUUCUAGAAGAUGUCCCUGCACAAACCCUAGAGUUUUCAAGCCAUCUUCUUCUGGUUUGGGAACUUUCGUUGUGAUAUAGCCUUUCAUUCACUUGUAUCCCAGGUUGAACAGUUUCGAAAGAUGAAUUCAAAACCGUUUCCUCUUGUAACUUUCUCCUCAUGUGUGCGUUUUCGGCUCUCAACAUACUCAAUUCUUCUUCAUUAUUCUUUUUUAACAUCUCGAAUUCUUUUUGUAAUUGGACCAACAUUGCCAUUGGCAUGUUAACAUUGUCUUCCCGAUCUCCACCUUGUUCUCCUCCUUGACUCAUCUUGUCUUUAACCCUUCUCAAUUGACCCUCAGCCCCACGGUGGGCGCCAAAAUGUUCUUACAGAAGGGACCAAGAACACUCAAAAUAGGGUAACAAGACUAAUCCUUCAAUCUUGGGUUGAAUACUAUCUUGGGCUGGAUACUAUCUUGGGCUGGGUACUUGAUUUCUCUCCUUGAUGGGAACUCUUGGCUUCUCCUCUCGACUGGUGCUUUCGGCUUCUCCUCUCGGCUGGUGCUCUCGGCUUCUCCUCUCGGCUGGUGCUCUCGGCUGGUGCUCUCAGCUGGUGCUCUCGGCUUCUCCUCACAACAGGUGGGGGGUACCUGCAAGUCGCUCCGAUGCCAAAGUCAGAAAAGGUUUAAUAUUCAUCAGAUAAAAUCACUCUUACCUUUUUCUUACUAUGGACUUCUAUUUAUAGGGUUUCCUUAAUGGGCUUUUCUCCUUUUCUGUUGGACUUUCUCUUUACACCUUUUUAUUAUUUACACACCCCUCCUGUAGGUUUUAAACUUAAUUGGGUUUCAUUUUUAUAGUAGUACUUAUAUUUUAUUUUAUUCUUUAAUGUAUAUCUUUUUCACUCUCGGUUUUAACCUUAUCCCCUUGUUUACUUAAUGUUGUUCUCGGCC